AGUGGUGGUGCAUGCCUUUAAUCCCAGUACUUGGGAGGCAGGGGAACCCUGUCUCAAAAAACCAAACCAAACCAAAAUAAAACAAAAAACAAAAACAAAAAACCACAACCAAAAAAAAAAAAAAAAGUGUGUCAGAUCCCUGGAAACUGUAGUUAUGAAUAGUUGUGAGCCAUGUAGUUGCUGGGAAUGGAAACUUGGUUCUCUGGAAGAACAAGUGCUCUUACACAAAGCCCUCUGACUUUGAUCUCUUUUUUAUUGUUUAUUGUUUUUUUUUCGAGCUAGGGUCUUACUAUGUAGCUCUUGGUGUCCUGGAACUCACUAUGUAGACCAGGCUGGCCUCAAAUCCACAGAAAUCUGCCUGCUUCUGCCUCCUGAGUGCUGGGACGAUCCCUGGCUGACUUUGAACUUCUAACACUCCUGUUUUUGUGUCCCAAGUACUGGGAUUCUAGCAUGAACCAGCACACCCCAAUGAAUUCCUUGUUUUGAAGGACUGCUAUGAUGGCCCAUGAAAGAUUCAGAUUAUCCUUUUUCCAGAAUCCAGUUACAUAGUGGGUAUAAAAUGUACAGUUCAGGCAGCCAGUGGUGAUCUUCUGUCUUCUGUUGAAACUCCUUUGUGUGGUUAGAAUUGCAGGCCACAGAGGCUUGCGUUUCAGGCCAAGCUGUUUGGGUCACAAGCUUUAAGCAGUCUCUGAUGCCGGCUUGAGGAGGGUGCUGAUUAGUGACACCAAUUCCAGUACCUCCUGGUCUACCAGAGGGCUCUGGAGACUGGAGCUAGAGCCAGGCAGCCCUCAUUCUCAGCAGGGGAGAACUGCUGUCUCCUUGAGAAGUGGCUUUCCUUUACAAUCUCAUCCCCUCCCCCUUUCUUCUUUCUUGUUCUCCGCUGCAGGAGCUUCUGCACCCUUGGGUUUGCAUGGCCAAUGUUCCUGUGCAGAUCUUCCUGUCACCAUGAGUGCUCUUUACCCGUUGCCUAUUAAAUUAACCCUAUAGUCUCCAAACUAGACGUUUGAGAAGGAGGCAAGGGGAAGGCUGGGUGGCUCCCCCUCACUGGGCAGAACCUCUCCAGCCACAGAGCUGGAAUCUAGCUGGCAUCUUAUUUGUCUGUUGCUCGAUUGAGUCCUCAUUUCCUAACAUGUAUUCAUGAGGUGUGUCUGCUUUGGAAAUACAGUAGAUGAAUUAGUUAUCUGUCUCCAUCAUGAAACUUCUUUUCUGGCAGGAGUCAAUAAGCAAAUUGGAGUGCCAUGGAGAACAUAAAGCAAAACAAGGGAUGGUUCAGGGGUUUGGAAAAGUGGGCAGAUACUCUGAGCUGUUCAGAGAAGUGCUCUGAGGAGGUGAUAUUCCAAGUUGACCUGAAACCUGAGUGGGAAGUAGAAGCCAGCCAUGGACAGUAGAAGAGGCCCAAGGUGAAGUGAGCAUGGCGGUUCCGGUGUUAGAAACACCAGUAGGACUAGAUGUUGAUCAGAGACCAUGGAAAAAGAUGAACUUGAAGAAACAAAAGGACUUAUGACUCAUAGUGGGAAUGAGGGUAUUAUUCUCACUGAAUUAGGAAUACUGAUUUACUUCCACAGGCAGGCAGCUUGUUAUGGCUAGCCGACUGGGACUUAUCUAAGGAAACUAGUCUGUAGAGGCUAGAGUUGAAAUGAGCUUUUUUUUUGUUUUGUUUUGUUUUUUUUUGGAUAGGGUCCCAAGGGAUUAAAAGCAAGCAUUCCUCUUGAAGCUGUUGAACUUUAUUCUCCGACCAGUGUGUCCAUGCUGGGACAGUAAGAAUUGGAUGAAUCCAAGAUGGUUUUGGAGUUGCUAGUGAAUCAGACAUGGGAGAUGGAUAGGAUGAUGGGAGGAAGGGAAAGAAUUGACUUUCCGGAUGGCUGAGCAACUGAGACUAAGGGUCCCCUGUGGAGCUGGUGUCUGUUGUAGACCUUGGCUCCUAGGGAUCGUGGGCAGCUUCACAGAGGGGAUUGCCAGGCCUUAUCAGAGUGAUGGGCCUCACACUCAUACACUCAGUCCUGCCCACUCCAGGAACUUGUGUUUGUUCUUUAAGCUAUGCUGCUCUGUCAGAGACAAUCUCUGAGCUGAGCUCUAUGUACUUAUAGUCAUGGUUGUAUUUUCUCCCCACCUUUUUUGUUUGAAACAGGGUCUUACAUCUCAGCCCAGGCUAUUCUCAAACUCAUGACAAUCCUCUCUGCUGUGCCUUUUUUCUUUUGGACAGGGUUUUCUCUGUGUAGCUCUGGCUGUCCUGGAAAUUGAUUUGUAGAUCAGGCUGACUUUGAAUUCAGAGAUCUGUCUCCUUGAGUGCUGGGAUUAAAGCUAUGCCACACCAGACUUCUGCUGUGCCUCUUGAGGAGGCUUUUGGGAAGAGAGAGUUUAGAGUUUGCUUUCUGAGUGGUAGGGCUUUUCCAACUGCCACGAAUCCUAAAUGAUACUUUUAUUCGUAUGAGUUAGUUCCAGAGAGCUACCAUUUGAGCUCAGAUUCUCUAAAGAAGCCUUAGCUUAGUGUGCUUGAUAGCUUCAGAGCUAGACGGUACCAUCAGAACAAUCUGUAAGGAGGCCAGGAGAAGAGACAACUUGGUGUUUCCAGAGAGGAACCUCAAAUAGGAAAGAUAAUUGCAAGCCGGGUGUGGUGGCGUACACCUUUAAUCCCAGCACUUGGGAGGCAGAGGCAGGCGGAUUUCUGAGUUCGAGGCCAGCCUGGUCUACAAAGUGAGUUUCAGUACAGCCAGGNCAAAAAAAAAAAAAAAAAAAAAAAAAAAAGAAGAAGAAGAAGAAGAAGAAGAAGAAGAAGAAGAAGAAGAAGAAGAAGAAGAAGAAGAAGAAGAAAGAUAAUUGCAGAAACAGGAUUCCUUGUCUUUAGCCUUUGAGCCUGCUUGGGCAACAGUGAAGAGUCUAACUCAGAGACAAUAGGGAGUCAGAAACAAAGAAUUGGGGGACUCUGAAUUGGAGAGAGCAAACUGUGAGGAGUUUUGGCGGCACAGCCUCUCUGUUGAGGAAUGUUCUGGAAGUAAGAGGUCAGUUUUCUUUUUCCAUCGUCUCCUCAGUGGCAGCAUUACAGGCAAGUACCACCUCACUCAGCUCCAGUGUGAUAUUGGAGACUGAACCCUUGUGCAUGCUAGACAGCACUGUAUCCCUUAGUGAUACUCAGCCCCUCACACUGGUUAUUAAAAAGUACAUUUAUUAUAUUAGUGUGCUGUUGUCCCGUUGCAUAGCAGGGCGUUUAAAGUUGUCUCUUUUGUUCUUUAUCAAGUAGAUCUCUGCCUUGCCGACCUCUUUCAUCUAUAGUCAGAUUUUUUUUUUAAAGUAAUGUUAUGGGAUAUAAUUACAGACUAUAAUAUGUGCCCUUAUUAACAGUUCAGGAAUUGUUUUUCUUACCAGCCUUUCUUACCAGUAUCACACAGUUCACAGUCCAGUUUUAGGGAAUCCUAUCACUUUGGUAUGCUUGUUCCAGGCCCUUUCUAUUGAAUCCCAAUCUCCACCACAGCCCCAGGUCACUGUUCAUCUUUCUCUGUAGUCGGUCUUUUCUAGAAAUUUCAUAACUUUGUGAUCAUAUGAUAUGUGGAUUUCUGGAUCUGACUUCUUCUUUGAUUUAGUAUAAUACUUAUCCAUCCAUCCAUUCAUCUACUUAUUUAUUUAUUUAAAAAUUGACACACUCUAUUCAUUCAUUCAUUCAUUCAUUCAUUCACAUUUUGACAUACUCUUGUGGAGCCUUGGCCUCAGUCAUGUAGAGGCCAUGUACUUACAGCGUAUGUAGCACAAGUGUAACCUUGGUCUCCUGGUCCUUCUGUACCCACGUACUAAGUACUGAGAUUACAAGGUAUAUACCCAUGCCUGCUUUAACAUGAUUUAAAGGUCAUCUGUGUUAUAGAUGUGUCAUAUAGUUUGCCCUUUUAUCUUUGGUUUGGCAGGUACCUUGCCAAAUAGACCAGUGCUCAGCCAAUGUUUUGAAGGAUUUGGAAGUAUUUCACUAUUUGGAUAUUGACUCUCCAUUAGGAACUUUCUUACAGGGUGAAGAUAAAAUGUCUGUGAAACAUGUGGAAUGAUAUAGGACUAGAAACCUUAGGACAAUGUGGCCCUGGGUAAGGACAUUUUACAUUGCUCAUGAUAUUCAGGGAGAGGAAUGGGCAAGAGAGACUAGAAUCAUAGUUACCAUGCUUAUCUUUCUCGUAGACCAUAGUUUUUGAUAUUAUUCUAGGAACAGAUUGCAUUAAGUAAUAAAAAGUAGGCUGGAGAGAUGCUUAGUGGUUAAACACUAGCUGUGCUUCCAGAGGACCCAGGAUUGAUUCUCAGCACCAUCAUAUGGUAGCUUAUAACUGUACAUAUCUGCAGUUCCAGGGGAUCUGAUGCCCUCUUUUGGCCUCCUCAGGUACUUUCACACACAUGGUGUACAGACAUAAAUACAGACAAACACUCAUAUGCAUAUAGUAAUUAUAUAUAAAUAAAAGACAUGGGGCUGUAGAGAUAGCACAGUGAUUAAGAACAGUGACUACUCUGCCAAAGGACCUGGGAGCAUUUCCCAGCACUGACAUGAUGGUUCACAAUCUUCUGUUCUGGGAGAUCUGACACCCUUUCUGGUCUUCCCAGGCAUGAGGCAGACACAGAGUGAAAUUACAUACAUGCAGGGAAAAUACCUCAAUACAUAAAAUAAAAAUUAAAAAUAAUAAAGAAAUCUAUAUAAAAUAAGUAACUUCUAUGUGGAACAACAUGGUUGAAUUUAGGGAACCUGUCAAAUAAAACAAGUUUAAGGGCCUAGAGCGUUAGCUCAGUAGGUAGAAUGCUUAUGUAUCAUUUAUUAGGCCUUGGGUUAAUCUCCACACUGUAUACACUGGACAUGGCACAGAUGCCUCUAAUCCUAGCACUCAGGGAAUGGAAGCAGAAAGAUCAGAAGUUUAAGGUCAUCCUUGACGACAUAGCAAGUUUGGGGUCAGCCAUGGAUCAUGAGAAGCUGCCUUUAAAAAGAAAAGAGCUUUAAGUAUUUGACUCAACAUAAUACAGUAACUCAGAAGAAUAUCUGGUUCCAUUUAUAUGCAGUUCUAAAGUGAAACGCAAGGAAGAUCAGUACUGUAAGUCAGGUGUGGUAGCACAGGCUGAUAAUGCCUUACUCUGGAGCAUCCAUAUAAGAUAAGCCACAUACAAUGUUUAAGGGCAGCCUGCGGAGGCUGGAGAGAUGGCUCAGUGGUUAAGAGCACUCACUGUUCUUCCAGAGGGCCUGAGUUUAAUUCCCAGCAACCACAUGGUGGCUCACAACCACCUGUAAUGGGAUCUGAUGCCCUCUUCUGGUGUGUCUGAAGACAGCUACAGUGUACUCAUAUACAUAAAGCAAAUAAAUAAUUCUUUAAAAAAAAGGGGGGGCAGCCUGCACAUGCCCUCUC
ensembl:processed_transcript Gm43813 predicted gene 43813